GUGGGGAAUAUUGCGCAAUGGGGGCAACCCUGACGCAGCAACGCCGCGUGCGGGACGACGGCCUUCGGGUUGUAAACCGCUUUCAGCAGGGAAGAUCGUGACGGUACCUGCAGAAGAAGCCCCGGCUAACUACGUGCCAGCAGCCGCGGUAAUACGUAGGGGGCGAGCGUUAUCCGGAUUCAUUGGGCGUAAAGCGCGCGCAGGCGGCCCGCCAAGCGGAACCUCUAACCCCGGGGCUCAACCUCGGGCCGGGUUCCGGACUGGCGGGCUCGAGUGCGGUAGAGGCAGGCGGAAUUCCCGGUGUAGCGGUGGAAUGCGCAGAUAUCGGGAAGAACACCGAUGGCGAAGGCAGCCUGCUGGGCCGUUCACUGACGCUGAGGCGCGAAAGCUGGGGGAGCGAACAGGAUUAGAAACCCUAGUAGUCC
rnacentral:rRNA from 1 species